AUUGAACGCUGGCGGCAUGCCUUACACAUGCAAGUCGAACGGCAGCACGGGUGCUUGCACCUGGUGGCGAGUGGCGAACGGGUGAGUAAUACAUCGGAACAUGUCCUGUAGUGGGGGAUAGCCCGGCGAAAGCCGGAUUAAUACCGCAUACGAUCCACGGAUGAAAGCGGGGGACCUUCGGGCCUCGCGCUAUAGGGUUGGCCGAUGGCUGAUUAGCUAGUUGGUGGGGUAAAGGCCUACCAAGGCGACGAUCAGUAGCUGGUCUGAGAGGACGACCAGCCACACUGGGACUGAGACACGGCCCAGACUCCUACGGGAGGCAGCAGUGGGGAAUUUUGGACAAUGGGCGAAAGCCUGAUCCAGCAAUGCCGCGUGUGUGAAGAAGGCCUUCGGGUUGUAAAGCACUUUUGUCCGGAAAGAAAUCCUUGGCUCCAAUACAGUCGGGGGAUGACGGUACCGGAAGAAUAAGCACCGGCUAACUACGUG
rnacentral:rRNA from 1 species